rnacentral:rRNA from 1 species
GACGAACGCUGGCGGCGUGCUUAACACAUGCAAGUCGAACGGAAAGGCCCUGCUUUUGUGGGGUGCUCGAGGGGCGAACGGGUGAGUAACACGUGAGUAACCUGCCCUUGACUGUGGGAUAACUUCAGGAAACUGGGGCUAAUACCGGAUAGGAGCUCCUGCUGCAUGGGGGGGGUUGGAAAGUUUCGGCGGUUGGGGCUGGACUCGCGGCUUAUCAGCUUGUUGGGGGGGGAGUUGCUUACCAAGGCUUUGACGGGUGGCCGGCCUGGGAGGGUGGCCGGCCACCUUGCGCCUGCGGUACGGCCCAGUCUCGUACGGUAGGCAGCGGUGGGGAGUAUUGCACAGUGGGGCGACGCGUGAUGCGGCAGCCCCCCGUGCGGGAUGCCGGCCUUCGGGUUGUGAACCGCUUUCGCCUGUGACGAAGCGUGAGUGACGGUACUGGGUAAAGAAGCACCGGCUAACUACGUG